rnacentral:rRNA from 1 species
UAGGGAAUCUUCCACAAUGGACGCAAGUCUGAUGGAGCAACGCCGCGUGAGUGAAGAAGGUCUUCGGAUCGUAAAACUCUGUUGUUAGAGAAGAACACGAGUGAGAGUAACUGUUCAUUCGAUGACGGUAUCUAACCAGCAAGUUACGGCUAACUACGUGCCAG